GGUAAAUUUUAGCUACUGGAGCUCUCAUUUGUUACAGGGGCUUCUGAUCCAGCCCUUCUGAAAGGAAAGUGUGAGCUGUGCCCUAUGCUGGGAAAUCAGCUUCUAUCCUUGCCCAGGCAGACCUAGGGUCUAGUUUUAUUAAGAGAUGAAAUGUUCACUGCUCAAGAUCUGCUGAGGUGGACUGAGACUUUACCAAACAAAUCUGCCCACCUUAGAAAUUGUAGAGAGCACAUUUUUACUAUAAUUUGUGAUCUUGUCUGCUUUUUACUGAGACACAUUUUCUUUGAAAUGUAGGUAGACAUCUUUCAGUAUAAAAUCUCAUGGGUUAAACUAUAGUCUUAACAUGUUUCAGUUCCAUCCUGGGAAGAAAUAGGCCUUGAAUGAAGUAAAGGAUAACUUUUUUUUAUGGUAAUGAUUUUCUCUAAGAAUUUAUGCCUUUUUUUCUUCAUCAUCAAAUGUCAGUUUUCAUCUUCUAAAAAUCAAGUCAGUAGUCUAAUUUCAUGGUUUUUGCUAGUAUUUUUGCUAGUGGAACCUCAUUUAUGGAAAAAUUCUGUGUGAAUUGGUAACUUAUAUCUAAAUCAUAAAUAUGUCAUAGUCUCUCUGGGGAAAUCAUAAUUGAAUAAACAAAAUACUUGUGGCUCUUUUCUACACGAGAAAUGUGAUAUCAUUAUCAUUUUUAAAUUGCUGAACAUUUAUAUUAAUAACAGAGAAUCUCCCCCCUCACCCCUUUCCAGCUGCAGGUCCCAGGGCCUUUGCCCUGUUUGAUUCAGAUCAUGUAUAGUUGCCCAUUUGCUUUGCUUCCUUUUAACUUUGCUAACCUGUUUCAGGGAGAGUUAGAUUUCAAAAUGCUGCCUUUCUCUCAUCUCCUCACCUCCUUCGAGUUACCACUGUGUGGCUGCAUAGGCAUGUAGAGUGUUCUGCCAUGAGAAGGUUUGCUUCAAAUCUGUGUUGUUCCCUUUACUUAGAAGGACCUGCUCUUAAACAGUAAGAAUUGAUAUCCAUUAAAAGGUCAAAAUUUAGCAUGUAAUACUU
rnacentral:lncRNA from 1 species